rnacentral:rRNA from 1 species
ACGCCCGUCACAUCACGAAAAGUGGGUCGUACUAGAAGUCGGUGGGCUAACCGCAAGGAGGCAGCCGCCCAAGGUAUGAUUCAUGAUUGGGGUG